UACGAAGGGUGCAAACGUUGCUCGGAUUCAUUGGGCGUAAAGCGUCCGCAGGUGGCAGUUCAAGUCUGCUGUCAAAGACCGGGGCUUAACUUCGGAAAGGCAGUGGAAACUGAACAGCUAGAGUAUGGUAGGGGCAGAGGGAAUUCCUGGUGUAGCGGUGAAAUGCGUAGAGAUCAGGAAGAACAUCGGUGGCGAAGGCGCUCUGCUGGACCAUAACUGACACUCAGGGACGAAAGCUAGGGGAGCGAAUGGG
rnacentral:rRNA from 1 species